rnacentral:rRNA from 1 species
CGUUAAUCGGAAUUAUUGGGCGUAAAAGGUG